ensembl:snRNA U2 U2 spliceosomal RNA
AUCGCUUCUCGGCCUUUUGGCUAAGAUCAAGUGUAGUAUCUGUUCUUAUCAGUUGAACAUUUUUAAAAGAUGUAUUUAUUUGAAAGGCAGAGUUACAGAGAAGAGAAGAGACAGGAGAGCAAUCUUCCAUCUGCUGGUUCACUCCCCAAAUGGCCACAAUAGGAGGAGCUGGGCCAGGCUGGA